rnacentral:tRNA from 1 species
CGGGGCGUAGCUCAGCCUGGUAGAGCGCCAGCUUUGGGAGCUGGAUGUCGCGUGUUCGAAUCACGCCGCCCCGACCA